CCUACGGGAGGCAGCAGUGGGGAAUAUUGGGCAAUGGGCGCAAGCCUGACCCAGCAACGCCGCGUGAAGGAAGAAGGCUUUCGGGUUGUAAACUUCUUUUAAGGGGGAAGAGCAGAAGACGGUACCCCUUGAAUAAGCCACGGCUAACGACGUGCCAACAGCCGCGGUAAUACGUAGGUGGCAAGCGUGGUCCGGAUUUACGGGGUGUAAAGGGCGUGCAGCCGGUGAGACAAGUCAGAUGGGAAAUCCACGGGCUCAACCCGUGAACUGCAUUUGAAACUGUUUCCCUUGAGUGUCGGAGAGGUAAGCGGAAUUCCUUGUGUAGCGGUGAAAUGCGUAGAUAUAAGGAAGAACACCAGUGGCGAAGGCGGAUUACUGGACGAUAACUGACGGUGAGGCGCGAAAGCGUGGGGAGCAAACAGGAUUAGAUACCCCUGUAGUC
rnacentral:rRNA from 1 species